GGAAGAAGGACCGUCGCCGCCGCCAUGCAAAGCCCGUCCUCCACGCCGCUUGUGGACAUCAUUUCUUCCCUUGCGGUCCUCCACCGCGAGCAACACCAGGCGCUGCUGGACCUGAGGACUGAUCAGGAGCGACGGUUCCAGGCCAUCGUCCAGGCCCAGCAGGAGGACCGCGAGAGGUUCCGGGGCUGGAUUGAUCGGGAGGUGGCACCUGCCACUGCACAAGAUGGGGGCCCAGGAUGAUCCGGAGGCCUUCCUAGAGCUCUUCGAGAAGGCGGCUGAGGCCUGCGGGUGGCCCCGCGAGCAGUGGCCGGUGCGCCUCAUUCCACUGCUCUCCGGCGAGGCCCAGGUGGCCGCCCAACAACUUCCGGUGGCGAAUCUCCUGGUCUUCAACGACCUGAAGAGGGCCAUCAUCCAGCGGGUCGGCCGAUCGCCAGAACAACACCGCCAGCGCUUCCGCUCCCUGGACUUGGGCGAGGCCGGCCGGCCCUUCGCGAUGGCCCAACAGCUCCGGGACACCUGCCGCAAGUGGCUACUGGCCGAGGGGAGCGACGUGGAGCAUGUCGUCGACCUGGUGGUGCUGGAGCAGUUCAUCACUCGCCUCCCCAAGAAGACGGCCGAGUGGGUCCAGUGCCACCGCCCCGCUUCCAUCUCUCCGCUCUCUCCACGCCAAUUCCCCUCUCCACUCCCUGCCAUUGGGGCGGCGGGUAGGUCUGGGCUGGCCUGUUGGCGUUGCGGGGACCCGGACCAUUUUGUGGACAGGUGUCCAGUGAUGGAGGUGGAGAUGAUGAUCCGGGUCCCGGACGACCCACAGGCUACCCCCGGUCAGGCUGGCGAGUACCAAAUUCCCGUGAGUAUCAAGGGGGGUACAUAUCCGGCCUUGGUGGAUUCAGGAUGCAACCAGACCUCAAUCCAUCAAAGCCUGGUUCAACCGGGGGCAUUGGAUACAAGCCGCGUGGUUAAGGUGCGGUGCGUACACGGGGAUGUGGUGGAAUAUCCGGUCGUCCCAAUUUUGAUUCAAUUUCGGGGACAAAAGCAUAGUGUGGAGGUGGCGGUUAGUCCCCGCCUCCGGCAUCCAAUAAUUUUGGGGACGAAUUGGCCCGCGUUUACGGUUUUAUUGGGGUCGUUAUGUGCGGAUGCCCCUUGGGGAAAUAAGGCACGGAAGGAGACCGCGCGGGUUCAGGUGGGGGAAACUGAGCCAGGACCGCUGAGGUCUGCCUCAGGGGAACCGAGUGGAAUCGGGAGACUAAUUCUUUCGGAGCACGAUGACUUUCCUCUGGAGCAGUCUCAGGAUGAGAUGCUAAAACAUGCGUUCCAACAGGUCCGCACCAUCGAUGGCCAGUCUCUCCAACCUGCCCUCCCGCUCUCCUAUCCAUAUUUUGCCAUUUUAAAAGACCGGUUGUAUCGAGUGACCCAAGACGCUCAGACAAAAGUAAAUACAACCCAGUUGUUAAUUCCAAAGAGCCGCAGGGAAAUGCUUUUCCAUGCGGCUCAUUCUAAUCCUAUGGCGGGCCAUUUGGGACAGGCAGCAACACUAAAUCGCCUCAUGACCCGAUUCUUCUGGCCGGGCAUUCAUGACAACGUGCGCAGGUGGUGCGCGUCUUGUCCGGAAUGUCAGUUGGUGAACCCACCGGCCGCCCCAAAAGCGCCUUUGCGUCCUCUCCCAUUAAUGCAGGCCCCCUUCGAAAGAAUUGGUAUGG
rnacentral:lncRNA from 1 species